CAUCACCUGACAUCAGCACAAAGAUGUGGCUUUUAGCUCCACGUUUACUUGUGUGUUAAGGAUUUUGUUGUUUGGGUUUGUUUUUUCUUUGUUUUCAGCUGCAGAGCCCUGGGCCCAGGAGGCUCUAGGCACCGGAGGGGAGGUGAUCCAGGUGAGUCCCGGUGAGCAAGGGGUUCUGCCACCUUCUAACAGACAGUCCAGUGCUUCAGGGCCCCUGCUGGUAAGAGGUCACUGUGGAGGAGAGGUAGGUAGGAGCUACCCCAGGAAAGCCAUCCUUUCAGGCAGUACCUCAGUCUGUACAUUUGCCUUUGGCUUUUUUACUUUGCAGAGAAUGUGUGCAGCCUCAGAGGGCCGGAGCCACCUGCCAAUUAGGUUUGAUGGUCUUCAGCUGUCCUUGUACGGCACACGGUGACGGCAGCAGCCUCUGACUGGGGUCAGAGCCAGUGGCCUGAGAACCUCUCAGCUCAGGGGAGGCCAACCGAGUCAGUGAUCACAGGACCCUCUGAGCCAGCCGGGAGUCCUUCCUUCACAUCGAAGAUGGAUUCACAUCCCCAGCUGUGGGAAAGAUAAGUGGAGGACUCCCACCUGGAGAGGGGAUGAGAGCUGGGUCCAGUUUUAUGGUUAGGAGGGAGGGAUUUUCAAAUGAGCCCAGGGGAAAGGGUCUGCCCUAAGAGGCCCUUGGCACACGUAGGAGGAGCAGUUUACUUUUCAUCAUGGAGUAGGAUGUGCAGGGCAGAGCUGUUCAGGUCUGUGUCGUGUCCUUUGUCCAGUCUGUGUUUCGUGUCUUACUAUUCACAGUCACCACAUCUUUGCUUUCUGCCCUCAAAGUUCUUAUCUGAGGCAUCAUUCCUAGGGUCUUGAACCUCUGCACUGCCCAGCCCAGUGCCCAUACCAUCCGUUCUUUGUCUCACUAGCUUGGAUGUGCAUCAGAAUCGCAUCUGAGAAGUGUCAGGUCAGGUGUCUUUUACAGCCUCCUUACAGGUUGUAUCGGUGGCUGUGCUGUGCAGUCAUCUCUUGUAACCGCCUGGGAUUUCUGAGAGUUUAAGAAGAUUCUGAACAUAGCCUUGUCUCCCAUCCAUCUUAGCAAUUUUGUAGGCAGUUCUUGUCCCAGGCCAUUCUGUUAGAGUGUCUUUUCAGGCUCCUCAGAGCCUCCUCCGUUCAGUCUCGCCGUAUCCUCCGUCUUCUCGUGCGGCAGCACAUCCAUUUUGGCGUCGUUCCUUUCUCAGAGUUCUCUCUCCUGGUUGCACCACAGCACUUGUCUGGAAACGUGUCCUUGGAGUUUGUGUUGGGCCUGGAACUGCUCUGCCCUGCAGUGUAGACUUGGGGUGUCAGAGGGACUGGAUGUAAAGCAGAGAUGAACAGAAGAGGCUGGAGGAGCACAGUCAGAAGAUGCAGAGCCCUCAGCCCAGCAGACAACAGGCACCAGAGGGAAGGUGAGCCUGGUGAGCAAGGCAAUGCACCGACUUCUAACGUACAGUCCAACGUGACGGGGACCCUGCCUGAGACGUACGAAGCCUCACAGGGCUGAAGCCAACUCACAGUGAGGUGACGGACAGGGUUUGGUCCCCUUGAGCUGUCCUUGUAGGUAAUCUCCGAGUAUUGAAAGGAUCAGCAAUGAAGGAUUGAGCUUUUUUGAUUGCAGGUGCCAUCCAGCUAACCUUUGGGAGCAGAUGAGCAUUGGAGGUAUCCCAGAAGAUGACAGCACGUUGUCCAAGUCUGGUCAGAGCCAGCGACCCGAGGACCUGCCUCGGUGACAGUGAGUAGAGGGAUCCUGGGGGCUGGGGCCACGUGCCACACUCCUC